ACCGCGUGCGCCACGAUUCCAGGCGCGGCUGCCCGCACCAGCCGACCCGAGCGGCCCUCGGCACCUCGGGGGUUCCUGACCCCCGCGCGUCG
rnacentral:tRNA from 1 species